AGCCUCCCUCCCAGCUGCUUUCACGGGCUGAUAUUGAGUGUCUGCGGCUUUUCCAGGUGCACAGUGCAAGCUGUCAGUGGAUCUACCAUUCUGGGGUCUAGAGGAUGGUAGCAGUCUUCUCACAGCUCCACUAGGCAGUGACCCAGUAUGGACUCUGUGUGGGGGCUCUGACCCCACAUUUCCCUUCUGCACUGCCCUAGCAGAGGUUCUCCAUGAGGGCCCUGUCCCUGCAGCAAACUUUUGCCUGGGCAUCCAGGCGUUUCCAUACAUCUUCUGAAAUCUAGGCGGAGGUUCCCAAACCUCAAUUCUUGACUUCUGUGCACCUAUAGGCUCAACACCACGUGGAAGUUGCCAAGGCUUGGAGCUUCCACCUUCUGAAGCCACAGUCUGAGCUGUACGUUGGAGCCUUUCAGCCACAGCUGGAGUGGCUGGGACAGUCACAAAGCUAGUAAGUGAUAGAGGAGGGAUGUGAACUUGGUUGGACUGGCUCCAGAGUCUAUACUCCAAAUUAUUCCUCCUGGAUAAGACAUAGUUUUGAGUGGAGAAAGUCUCACCUGGCUCCCUUUUCGGUUAAUGGAUGUCUCCAGGAAGCCUCCUUGGUCCUACCUUCAAAGAUAGGUCUGAAACCCAGUGGCUUUGAAGAACAAGCUGCCAUGAAUCCUGCAGCUACAAGGAAAUGAACUCUAUUAACUUGAGUGAGCUUAAAACUAGAUCCUUCCCCAGUCAAGCCUCCAGGUGAGAAUUCAAUCCUGGCUGGCACCUGGAUUGCAGCUUACAGAAGACCCAGCUAAGGCCAUGUCUGGACUUUAAAUCCACAGGAACUGCAAGAUGGUAUCAGAAGUGGGACCUGCAGUGGGGCAUCUAGCAACCCCCAGGAGCAUUGAGUGACCAGGCUUGGGACCCACCGGGCGCAGGGUGUCCAUUGUUCUCUCGAAGCAACUGAGAAUUGUGGAUAUUCUUCAUUAUUCCAUCAUCAUCUCAAACCUCUUGGGUAUAGUGUUUGACUACUACUGUGACCAUAAAUUCCAAUAAAACCUAGGAAAAAUGAAACCACUACAUUAACUGAAAGGGUUUAUAUAUUCUGGAUACCAGGAUUAUAUUAUCAGAUCUACUACUUGAAAAUAUUAUCUCCUGUUUUGUGGGUUGUAUUUUCACUUUCUUUGUGGUAUGAUUUGGAGCACAAAGUUUUGAUUUUGACGAAGCCUCAUUUAUAUAUGUUUUUCUUUGUUGCUUGUGCUUUUUGAUCUUAUAG
rnacentral:lncRNA from 10 species